rnacentral:rRNA from 1 species
UACGAAGGGUGCAAGCGUUACUCGGAAUUACUGGGCGUAAAGCGUGCGUAGGUGGUUCGUUAAGUCUGAUGUGAAAGCCCUGGGCUCAACCUGGGAAUGGCAUUGGAAACUGGCGACCUAGAGUGCGGUAGAGGGUAGUGGAAUUCCCGGUGUAGCAGUGAAAUGCGUAGAGAUCGGGAGGAACACCAGUGGCGAAGGCGAGUCCCUGGACAACUUCUGACACUGAGGCACGAAAGCUAGGGGAGCAAACAGG